CCUACGGGAGGCAGCAGUGGGGAAUAUUGCACAAUGGGGGAAACCCUGAUGCAGCGACGCCGCGUGAGUGAAGAAGUAUUUCGGUAUGUAAAGCUCUAUCAGCAGGGAAGAAAAUGACGGUACCUGACUAAGAAGCCCCGGCUAACUACGUGCCAGCAGCCGCGGUAAUACGUAGGGGGCAAGCGUUAUCCGGAUUUACUGGGUGUAAAGGGAGCGUAGACGGCAGCGCAAGUCUGAAGUGAAAUCCCAGGGCUUAACCAUUGAACUGCUUUGGAAACUGUGCAGCUGGAGUGCAGGAGAGGUAAGCGGAAUUCCUGGUGUAGCGGUGAAAGGCGUAGAUAUUAGGAGGAACACCGGCGGCGAAGGCGGCCUGCUGGACUGAAACUGACGUUGAGGCUCGAAAGCGUGGGGAGCAAACAGGAUUAGAUACCCUGGUAGUC
rnacentral:rRNA from 1 species